rnacentral:rRNA from 1 species
AUUGAACGCUGGCGGCAGGCCUAACACAUGCAAGUCGAGCGGAGCGGCGGAAGGGUGAGUAAUGACUAUGAAUCUGCCUGGUAGUGGGGGAUAACGUCCUGAUACGGGCGCUAAUACCUCCUAUUAUCAGUUGAGCCCAGCUCGGAUGAGCUAGUUGGUGGGUUAAAGGCCUACCAAGGCGACGAUCCGUAACUGGUCUGAGAGGAUGAUCAGUCACACUGGAACUGAGACACGGUCCAGACUCCUACGGGAGGCAGCAGUGGGGAAUAUUGGAAAAUGGGCGAAAGCCUGAUCCAGCCAUGCCGCGUGUGUGAAGAAGGUCUUCGGAUUGUAAAGCACUUUAAGUUGGGAGGCGUUACCAACAGAAUAAGCACCGGCUAACUUCGUGCCAGCAGACGCGGUAAUUC